CGUGAUUGAUCCUGCCAAUAUUCAUAUGCUUGUCUCAAAUAUUAAUCCAUUCUAAAUAUGAACUAAUUCAGACUGUGAAACUGCAGAUGGCUCAUUAAAUCCAUUAUAGUUUUUUUUAUGGUACCAUACUAUUCUGAUAAACGUAGUAAUUCUAGAGCUAAUAUGUGCACCAAGUUUUGACUCUUUGCAAGGGAUGCAUUUUUUAGAUAAAAGGUCGUUGUGGGCUUGCCUGCUUCUCAAGUGAAUCAUGAUAACUCGACGGAUCGCAUAGUCCUUGCGCUGGCGAUGCUUCAUUAAAAUAUGUUCCCUAUCAACUUUCAAUGGUAGGAUAGAGGCCUAUCAUGGUGGUGAUGGGCGAUGGAGAAUUAGGGUUAGAUUCUGGAGAGGGAGCCUGAGAAACGGCUACCACAUCUAAGGAAGGUAUCAAGCGCACAAAUUACCCAAUCCUGAUGGGGAGCUAGUGACAAUAAAUAACAAUGUUGGGCUCAUUGUGUCUGGUAAUUGGAAUAAGUACAAUCUAAAUCCCUUUAUGAUGAUCCAUUGGAGGGCAAGUUUGGUGCCAAAAUCCCUAGUAAUUCUAGCUCCAAUAGCAUAUAUUUAAGUUGUUGCAGUUAAAAAUCUCAUAUUUGGAUCUUGGGUCAUCAAGGUCGGUCCGCCUACUCGGUGUGCACCUUCCCUUCCAUCCCUUUUGUCGUUGGCAUGCUCCUAGCCUUAAUUGGAUAGGUCGCGGCUCCAGUGUUGUUAUUUUGAAAAAAUUAGGGUUCUCAAAGCAAGAUUAUGCUCUUAAUACAUUAGCAUGGAAUAACGUGAUACGAUUUUGGUCCUAUUGUGUUGGCCUUUGGGACCAGAAUAAUGAUUAAGAGGGACUGUCGGGGACAUUCUUAUUUCAUUAUUAGAGGUGAAAUUCUAGGAUUUAUGAAAGACAUACCACUAUGAAAGAAUUUUCCAAUGAUGUUUUCAUUGAUCAAGAACAAAAGUUGGGAGCUCGAAGACGAUCAGAUACCGUCCUUGUUUCAACCAUAAAUGAUGUUGACCAUUGAUCGAUGGAUGUUUCUCUAAGGACUCCGCUAGCAAAUUCUGAGAAAUUAGAGUGUUUGGGUUAUGGGGAGUAUGGUCGCAAGGUUGAAACUUACUGGAAUUGAUGGAAGGGUACCACUAGGAGAGGAGCCUAUGAGUUAAGUUGACUCAACACUAGGAAACUUACUAGGUCCAGACAUAGUAAGGAUUGACAGAUUGAGAGCUCUUUCUUGAUUCUAUGGGUGGUGGUGCAUGGUCAUUCUUAGUUGGUGGAGCGAUUUAUCUAGUUAAUUCUAAUAACGAACGAGACCUAAGCCUGCUAACUAGCUAUGUAGAGGUUCCCCUUCAUGGCCAACUUCUUAGAGACUAUGGCCGUUUUUGCGAUGGAAGUUUGAGGCAAUAAUAGGUCUGUGAUUCUCUUAGAUGUUCUAUGCAGUGCACGUGCUAUACUGAUGCAACCAACGAGUUUUUCUUCCUGGUUCGAGAGGGUCAAGAAAUCUUCUCGAUUUGCAUCAUGAUGGGGAUAGACCAUUGCAAUUAUUGGUCUUCAACGAAGAAUUCCUAGUAAGCAUGUGUCAUCAACUCAUGUUGACUACAUCCCUGCCCUUUGUACACACCACCCGUUGCUCCUAUAGAUUGAAUGAUCUGGUGAAGUGUUCAGAUGCAUCGACGAUGGUGGUUUUCCACUGUCAACAUCGUGAAAAGUUCAUUGAACCUUAUCAUUUAGAGGAAGGAGAAGUUGUAACAAGGUUACUGUAGGUGAACAUGCAGUAG
rnacentral:rRNA from 1 species